AUGAGAACCAAUCCUACUACUUCUCGUCCUGGGGUUUCCACAAUAGAAGAAAAAAGUACAGGUCGUGUCGAUCAAAUUAUUGGACCCGUGCUGGAUAUCACUUUUCCCCUAGGCAAGUUACCUUAUAUUUAUAACGCUUUGGUAGUCCAGAGUAGAAAUAAUCGAGUUAGAGUUGUACCUAUGAGUGCUACGGACAGGUUGAUGGGAGGAAUGGAAGUGAUUGACACGGGAGCUCCUCUCACUGUUCCAGUCGGUGGAGCUACUCUCGGACGAAACGUUCUUGGGGAGCCUGUUGACAAUUUGGGUCCUGUAGAUAGUAGUGCAACAUUCCCUAUUCGUAGAUCUGCUCCUGCCUUUAUCGAGUUAGAUAAGAAAUUAUCCAUCUUUGAAACAGGUAUUAAGGUCGUCGAUCUUUUAGCUCCUUAUCGACAUGGAGGGAAAAUAGGACUAUUUGGGGGCACUGCAGUAGGUAAAACAGUACUGAUCAUGGAAUUAAACAAUAACAUUGCUAAAGCUCAUGGGGGCGUAUCUGUAUUAGGUGGAGUAGGGGAACGGACUCAUGAAGGAAAUGAUCUUUAUAUGGAAAUGAAGGAAUUCAGAGUAAUUAAUGAAAAAAUAUUGAGGAAUCAAAGGUAG
rnacentral:rRNA from 1 species